AACGAUCUGUAAGGGGGAACCUUUGUGACAUCCAGGGGAGGAAAGUCAAUGCAGUUCACUCAGGGGAUGAGGAUGGCCCUGGGCCCAGAGCUUAGGAGUGAAGAAACACAUUCCCUGGCCCAUAUGAGGUACCCCAGCCCAGGUGACCUUCACCCUGCCCAGAUAUUUUUUCAGACUUGUCUGGAAUUGAGAGGUGCAGCAUGAAGGGGAUGCUGCAUUGCACUGAAGGUCAGCAGAGACACACCUCCAAACACAUGACUUGUUGAGGACAAAUAAACCCUUGACUGGAGCACUGCA